CCUACGGGAGGCAGCAGUGGGGGAUAUUGCUCAAUGGGGGGAACCCUGAUGCAGCGACGCCGCGUGGGUGAAGGAGUGCUUCGGCAUGUAAAGCCCUAUUUGCAGGGAAGAAGCAAGACGGUACCUGACUAAGAAGCACCUGCUAACUACGUGCCAGCAGCCGCGGUAAUACGUAGGGGCCGCGCGUUUACCGGAUUCACUGGGUUUAUAGGGAGCGUAGACGGCCAUGCAAGCCAGGGGUGAAAGCCCGGGGCCCAACCCCGGGACUGCCGUGGGAACUGCAUGGCUGGAGUGCGGGAGGGGUAGGCGGAAUUCCUGGUGUAGCGGUGAAAUGCGUAGAUAUCAGGAGGAACACCGGCGGCGAAGGCGGCCUGCUGGACCGCGACUGACGUUGAGGCUCGAAAGCGGGGGGAGCGAACAGGAUUAGAUACCCGUGUAGUC
rnacentral:rRNA from 1 species